rnacentral:rRNA from 1 species
AUUGAACGCUGGCGGCAGGCCUAACACAUGCAAGUCGAGCGGAUGAAGGGAGCUUGCUCCUGGAUUCAGCGGCGGACGGGUGAGUAAUGCCUAGGAAUCUGCCCGGUAGUGGGGGAUAACGUCCGGAAACGGGCGCUAAUACCGCAUACGUCCUGAGGGAGGAAGUGGGGGAUCUUCGGACCUCACGCUAUCAGAUGAGCCUAGGUCGGAUUAGCUAGUUGGUGGGGUAAAGGCCUACCAAGGCGACGAUCCGUAACUGGUCUGAGAGGAUGAUCAGUCACACUGGAACUGAGACACGGUCCAGACUCCUACGGGAGGCAGCAGUGGGGAAUAUUGGACAAAGGGCGAAAGCCUGAUCCAGCCAUGCCGCGUGUGUGAAGAAGGUCUUCGGAUUGUAAAGCACUUUAAGUUGGGAGGAAGGGCAGUAAGUUAAUACCUUGCUGUUUUGACGUUACCAACAGAAUAAGCACCGGCUAACUUCGUG